rnacentral:rRNA from 1 species
GUUGGGAAUCUUCCGCAAUGGGCGAAAGCCUGACGGAGCGACACUGCGUGAGGGAAGAAGGCCUUCGGGUUGUAAACCUCUGUCGAGAGGGGAAGACCUCAGACGGUACCCUCAGAGGAAGCCCCGGCUAACUACGUGCCAGCAGCCGCGGUAAGACGUAGGGGGCGAGCGUUAUCCGGAAUUACUGGGCGUAAAGGGCGUGUAGGCGGUUAGGUGUAUCGAGGGUGAAAUCCCACGGCUCAACUGUGGGAAGACUCUCGAGAUUACCUAACUAGAGGGUAGAAGAGGGAGAUGGAAUUCCCGGUGUAGCGGUGAAAUGCGUAGAUAUCGGGAAGAACGCCGGUGGUGAAGACGGUCUCCUGGGCUACUCCUGACGCUGAGGCGCGAAAGCUAGGGGAGCGAACGGGAUUAGAAACCCUAGUAGUCC